AAAUCUCUGAAAAAUGCCUAUUUACUGGAAAGCCAUACCGCAACUGAUUGUGGCUCUGCCAGUAAUCGACUACAUGUUUUCGGUGGUGGUCAAAAUGGAGAUCGCAGAGCAGAAGCGUCUCCGCGAGAUGGAGACUGCCAGCCCACAAAAACCCGACGUAAAAGAGUGUUAAAAAAGCGAAGAGACGGACGAGUGUUACCCCAAAACCACAGCCAAACGAAGACAAGAAACAGUGGAGAUCCCUGGACACAUUGCACCCUCUUUUCAGGAGAGGCCGCCGCCCUGAAGGGCACAGCAGAAGGGGCUCAAGCGGUCCCGCCUUUGGCUGGGGGUUUGGGGUAAAAUUUGUGUCUUGUGUCAAAUUCUCGAAUGUCUUACCACCAACUAAAGCUGUCAGUCUA